AUUGAACGCUGGCGGCAUGCCUUACACAUGCAAGUCGAACGGCAGCACGGGAGCAAUCCUGGUGGCGAGUGGCGAACGGGUGAGUAAUGUAUCGGAACGUGCCCAGUCGUGGGGGAUAACGUAGCGAAAGCUACGCUAAUACCGCAUACGAUCUGGGGAUGAAAGCGGGGGACCGUAAGGCCUCGCGCGAUUGGAGCGGCCGAUAUCAGAUUAGGUGGUUGGUGGGGUAAAGGCCUACCAAGCCGACGAUCUGUAGCUGGUCUGAGAGGACGACCAGCCACACUGGGACUGAGACACGGCCCAGACUCCUACGGGAGGCAGCAGUGGGGAAUUUUGGACAAUGGGCGCAAGCCUGAUCCAGCAAUGCCGCGUGCAGGAUGAAGGCCUUCGGGUUGUAAACUGCUUUUGUACGGAGCGAAAAGGCUCUCUCUAAUACAGGGGGCUCAUGACGGUACCGUAAGAAUAAGCACCGGCUAACUACGUGCCAGCAGCCGCAGUAA
rnacentral:rRNA from 1 species